UACAUGUGGGGCAAGCGUUGUUCGGAAUUACUGGGCGUGAAGCGUGCGCAGGCGGUUGUGCAAGACAGAUGUGAAAUCCCCGGGCUUAACCUGGGAACUGCAUUUGUGACUGCACAGCUGGAGUGCGGCAGAGGGGGAUGGAAUUCCGCGUGUAGCAGUGAAAUGCGUAGAUAUGCGGAGGAACACCGAUGGCGAAGGCAAUCCCCUGGGCCUGCACUGACGCUCAUGCGCGAAAGCGUGGGGAGCGAACAGG
rnacentral:rRNA from 1 species